GCGAAUUUCCUAAAGGGGGGCGAAAUUCCUAGGAUUUUCGCCCCCCUGGGGGGGCGAUAUUCCCAGGAAUUUCGCCCCCCGGGGGCCGAAAAUGU
rnacentral:miRNA from 1 species